rnacentral:lncRNA from 1 species
UCCGAGUAAUUUAAUUAACUCCCACUAACUCCCAACCAUAACUGUCUAAAUCACACAAUUUACAAAUCUCUCUGAUCACAUCUCUCAAACUCAAGCACCCUCCCUCUGGAAACUGCCGCCGCCGCCGCCUCCUCCGGCCAACGACGCCUCUCGCCCCCUCUUAAACUUUCUCCUUCCCUCUCUUACUCUCUUCUCGCGUUUUCCACCUAACACGCUCACCGGCGUUUCCAUUUCACGCUCACCGGCGUUUCUCUAACUGUGGCCCAGAAAUCGCUGGACUCCAUUCUCCCGCGGCUCAAGGUACGAUGGAAAAUGACCGGUGCUAGAGUGAAAUCCUGAAGUCACGAUCAGGAACUGUGAUCUCACGGCGAACCAGAUCUCACGGCGGCGAACCAGAUCUAACGGCGGACCAGAUCUGGAGCAACUCGCGGCGGAUCUCACGGCGGCUCCUUCGGACGUGAACUGCCAUUGGCGGACCAGAUCUCCCCCCGGUACUCUCUCUCGUCGCCGCUGCACAGCCACAGCCGCCGCUGCACAUGCAGCGACGGUGGCCGUCGCCGCCCCCUCCUACACCAACGUGCUCCUGCUCGGCCUCAAUCCUAAAUCCGGUGACCACCUCCACCUUUGGCCAUCUGCCGCCUCCUAUCUCAAUCUCAAAGUGUCCAAUUUUAUUCCAAUUGUGUAACUGACAGAAUUUUAUUCUACUUCUAUUGGUUCUAAUUUCUUUUCAAUUUUCGAUGAGUUUAGAGGAGAUGAAUCGUUGAGGGCAUCAGAUUAUGUAUAAGCGUGUGUGUGUUUUCUUUAACCGAAGAUGUGUGUUGGGCAUCUGAAUUUAAGAAUGAAAAUCAUGUGAGAGGUUAGGUGUUUCUGUAUUUGUAGAAAGUAAAUAAAUAAGAAGAUAGUUGAAGGUAUUCUGCUGUGUCGAAUAAAGUUAUGAAAAUUUACAGACUAAUAAAGUUAAAUCAUGUUUUUUCUAUUUCGGAAUUUGGAUUUUUAUUCGUAAUCAAUUCGAUUUCGUGUUUUGUGUUCCCUUUUAAGUUCUUCUAUUGCUUCUGUUUGGAGUGUUAAAAACCACUCUGGCAUUCUCUCGACCAGUUUGUGGAAGAUGCAAAUUUGGAAUAGACUGCGUGUUUGUGUGUGUGUUUAUUCAUUUAUGUAUUGUUAUUGGAGACUGCGUGUAUGUACGUGCGUGUAUGGUUUUCGACGAUUUAGUUUGGAUUGGAGGUUUGAGAAUGGAUUUGAAAUCCAUAGCAGCAAAUUGGCUGGUGGUUUUUGCAUUGAUAUGCAAUUUGAUUUGCAUUGCCUUUCACCAGUAUCACCGCCAUUUACUUUCAGAUUCUCUCGAGUUUUAAAUUCAUCUGAUCUUAAUCCAUUGUUUGCAGUUGAUGGUCGCUCUUGUCCUCUCAAUGAUGAAGCCAUCUCAAACAUCUUUUGGCGCUCUUCAGGUGGCAUCUUAUUCAUCAUAUCAGUUGCCAUCUUGAGCAUGUCUGGUGUCACAUUUGGUGGAACUGACCCAGGGAAAAUAUAUAAAUUAAGAAAUAUAUUUUAGAAAUGAUGAUACUACUACUACAAAUGUUGUGCAUAGGGAAGUUUUUCAAAAUGUAUGACAAUAUGUGUGCUAUUGUUUUGCAUUUAAUUAUAAUUAAAUUUAAUUUAUAUGAAUAUCAUGUCUUAUUUUCAUAUUUAUUUAUUUAAAAUAUUAUUUAAAAAUAACACUCAACGUGCAGCACUUGUCGUGCAACGCACGAGUGGGUGUUCUAGU